GUCUAGAAGGGCAAACAUUAAGCAUUAUUAUUGGGUUUAAAAGGUGUGUAAACGGAAUAUUAUGAGAUAAUUUUCAAUUAUUUUACUAAUAAUCUAGAAUAUUAUGGAGGAUUAUAUAACGUUUGAGAUUAAGGAUAAAAUCUUCAACCUCAAAAGAAUACCUAAGGCGAAGGCUAUAAUCUAAGUAUAUAUUGACGUUGAGUCACUAAAGUAUGGUUAUCAAAGUGG
rnacentral:rRNA from 1 species